rnacentral:rRNA from 1 species
CCUGGUGACAACAGCGCGGUGGUACCACCUCUUCCCAUUCCGAACAGAGAAGUUAAACGCCGUGUCGACGAUGAUACUUAGCCCCUGAUGGUUAGGGAAAGUAGUUAUCGCCAGGA